GAUGAACGCUGGCGGCGUGCUUAACACAUGCAAGUCGAACGGAAAGGCCCAAGCUUGCUUGGGUACUCGAGUGGCGAACGGGUGAGUAACACGUGGGUGAUCUGCCCUGCACUUCGGGAUAAGCCUGGGAAACUGGGUCUAAUACCGGAUAGGACGAUGGUUUGGAUGCCAUUGUGGAAAGUUUUUUCGGUGUGGGAUGAGCUCGCGGCCUAUCAGCUUGUUGGUGGGGUAAUGGCUUACCAAGGCGUCGACGGGUAGCCGGCCUGAGAGGGUGUACGGCCACAUUGGGACUGAGAUACGGCCCAGACUCCUACGGGAGGCAGCAGUGGGGAAUAUUGCACAAUGGGCGCAAGCCUGAUGCAGCGACGCCGCGUGGGGGAUGACGGCCUUCGGGUUGUAAACUCCUUUCGCUAGGGACGAAGCGUUUUUGUGACGGUACCUGGAGAAGAAGCACCGGCUAACUACGUG
rnacentral:rRNA from 1 species